CGCUGGCGGUGCGCCUUAUGCAUGCAAGUCGAGCGAAGCUUUUCAGUAGUUUACUACAGAAAAUGACUGAGCGGCGAACGGGUGAGUAACGCGUGAGCAAUCUACCUUAGUUACUGGGAUAGCCCGAGGAAACUCGGAUUAAUACCGGAUAAUCUUAUUACAUCACAUGAUAUUUUAAGUAAAGGUCAGCCGAACUAAGAUGAGCUCGCGUUCUAUCAGCUUGUUGGUGGGGUAAAAGCCUACCAAGGCUACGACGGAUAGCUGGUCUGAGAGGACGAUCAGCCACACUGGGACUGAGACACGGCCCAGACUCCUACGGGAGGCUGCAGCAGGGAAUAUUGCGCAAUGAGCGAAAGCUUGACGCAGCGACACCGCGUGUGGGAUGACGGUUCUAGGAUUGUAAACCACUUUCAGGAGGGAAGAAAAUGACGGUACCUCCACAAGAAGCCCCGGCCAACUACGUGCCAGCAGCCGCGGUAAUACGUAGGGGGCGAGCGUUGUCCGGAUUUAUUGGGCGUAAAGAGCUCGUAGGCGGUUCAACAAGUCGGUCGUGAAAGUUCAGGGCUUAACCCUGAAAUGUCGAUCGAUACUGUUGUGACUAGGAUAUGGUAGAGGUGAGUGGAAUUCCGAGUGUAGCGGUGAAAUGCGUAGAUAUUCGGAGGAACACCAAUAGCGAAGGCAGCUCACUGGACCACUAUCGACGCUGAGGAGCGAAAGCUAGGGGAGCAAACAGGAUUAGAUACCCUGGUAGUCCUAGCUGUAAACGAUGGAUACUAGAUGUAGGAAUUGGAUUGACGAUUUCUGUAUCGUAGCUAACGCGUUAAGUAUCCCGCCUGGGGAGUACG
rnacentral:rRNA from 1 species